GGAGGAAUACUCAAGUGGCUGAAGAGGCAAGCUUGGAAAGUUUGUAGGUUAGAAAUGAUGCAGGGGUUCAAAUCCCCUUUCCUCCGCCA
rnacentral:tRNA from 1 species